rnacentral:lncRNA from 1 species
UGACAAGGUGUUAAGAAAAGAAAUAUCUGCUUUUAUUUCGUUCUGUUCUCUAGAGGGAUUUAGCAUUUUGCUGUGUAGCUCUUUCAUACGAAACUAACUUUCAAAGUAAACCUGGUUCCUUUGCCAACAUACUUUUUAAAGGCGCAAUACAGCUCUGUUUUCAAAAGUCCAUCUUGUUAGAAAUGUAUUGAUUUUGUUGUUUCUGGCUUACAGUGAGAGAUUGGACUUCAGGACCUCAAAAAAUACUGGUAACUUGGUUGAAUCCUACAAAAAACAACAACGGACAAAAGUAAGUUGUGUGUGGCUACUUCUAGUAUUAAGAGCCAUUCUCACGUGAAGUCCACCAUGGAUUCCUUAAUACUGUUUGGAGACUGAUCUCUGCACUUGUCCCUCCAUAAGGUUCAUUGAGAUGCCAAACUAUGGCUGGCUACAACUUCAGUACAUCUUGUAACAAUGCAGGCCAUGACAUGCCGGAGUGAUGGAGCAUGGUUUAUCACAUCUCCCUGGACAGAAGCGGGGGCUGUGAAGAUGGUCUGAAUUUCAGGAGAGCUCACCUGCCUCUGAGGGACUCAGGUAACUUCUCCAGCU